GGGGAAUUUUGCGCAAUGGGCGAAAGCCUGACGCAGCAACGCCGCGUGGAGGAUGAAGGUCUUUGGAUUGUAAACUCCUGUCAGCAGGGAAAAAGGGACCGGACCUAAUACGUCCGGGACUUGAUUGUACCUGCAGAGGAAGCCCCGGCUAACCCUGUGCCAGCAGCCGCGGUAAUACAGAGGGGGCAAGCGUUAUUCGGAAUUAUUGGGCGUAAAGGGCGCGUAGGCGGCUUUUCAAGUGACGGGUGAAAGCCCUCGGCUUAACCGAGGAACUGCCUGUCAGACUGGAAGGCUUGAGACCAGGAGAGGUGAGUGGAAUUCCCAGUGUAGCGGUGAAAUGCGUAGAUAUUGGGAGGAACACCAGUGGCGAAGGCGGCUCACUGGACUGGUACUGUCGCUGAGGCGCGAAAGCGUGGGGAGCAAA
rnacentral:rRNA from 1 species